UGGUUCUGGCAUCGAUGAAGAACGCAGCGAAAUGCGAUAAGUAAUGUGAAUUGCAGAAUUCAGUGAAUCAUCGAAUCUUUGAACGCACAUUGCGCCCAUUAGUAUUCUAGUGGGCAUGCCUGUUCGAGCGUCAUUUCAACCCUUAAGCCUUGCUUAGUGUUGGGAAUCUACAACCUGGGAGAAGUUACCCUGUAACGCUUACCCUGUAGCUCCUCAAAACUAACGGCGGAUUUAUAGUGUCCUCUGAGCGUAGUAAUUUUAUCUCGCUUUUGCUAGGCGCCGUAUCUCUUGCCGUUAACCCCCUAUUUUUAAUGGUUGACCUCGGAUCAGGUAGGAAUACCCGCUGA
rnacentral:misc_RNA from 1 species